rnacentral:rRNA from 1 species
AAUAUUUGACAAUGGGCGAAAGACUGCUCCAGCCAUCCCGCGUGUGUGAAGAAGGNCUNNGGAUUNUNAAGCACUUUAAGUUGNNNNNAAGGGGUUGACGCUAAUACCUUCAGUCUUGGACGUUACCAUCAGAAUAAGCACCGGGUAACUUCGUGCCAGCAGCAGCGGUAAUACGAAGGGUGCAAGCGUUAAUCGGAAUUACUGGGGGUAAAGCGGGCGUAGGUGGUUUGUUAAGUUGGAAGUGAAAGCCCCGGGCUCAACCUGGGAACUGCUUUCAAAACUGGCAAGCUAGAGUAUGGCAGAGGGUGGUGGAAUUUCCUGUGUAGCGGUGAAAUGCGUAGAUAUAGGAAGGAACACCAGUGGCGAAGGCGACCACCUGGGCUAAUACUGACACUGAGGUGCGAAAGCGUGGGGAGCAAACAGG